GAUGAACGCUGGCGGCGUGCCUAAUACAUGCAAGUCGAGCGAACAGACGAGGAGCUUGCUCCUCUGACGUUAGCGGCGGACGGGUGAGUAACACGUGGAUAACCUACCUAUAAGACUGGAAUAACUUCGGGAAACCGGAGCUAAUACCGGAUAAUAUAUUGAACCGCAUGGUUCAAUAGUGAAAGACGGUUUUGCUGUCACUUAUAGAUGGAUCCGCGCCGCAUUAGCUAGUUGGUAAGGUAACGGCUUACCAAGGCAACGAUGCGUAGCCGACCUGAGAGGGUGAUCGGCCACACUGGAACUGAGACACGGUCCAGACUCCUACGGGAGGCAGCAGUAGGGAAUCUUCCGCAAAGGGCGAAAGCUUGACGGAGCAACGCCGCGUGAGUGAUGAAGGUCUUCGGAUCGUAAAACUCUGUUAUUAGGGAAGAACAAAUGUGUAAGUAACUAUGCACGUCUUGACGGUACCUAAUCAGAAAGCCACGGCUAACUACGUG
rnacentral:rRNA from 1 species